ensembl:lncRNA uncharacterized LOC114440571
GCCCCCAGAUGGAGAUACAGUCUAGGCCUACUGCUAUCUGCCUCCUCUAACAUACAGGGGAAAGUACCAUUUGGAUUUCUCUCUCUAUUCUAUAGAUACACAGGGCACAGACGAGCACCGUCACACUUUUAAACAUCCUCAUCACAUGCACACUCUGAGCUCAGGAAGCCAACACACUGCUUUGGUGCACAGCAGAGGAAACUCAGGACCUGUACAGUCGUCAUUUCUCAACAUCUGUCUUCCUGCGCUGAAUCGGACUGACGAUGCCACAGCCCAUCCAGAACUCCCUGGUCCAAGUCCUCCUGUUGUGGACCACCGUCCUUUCUAUAUUCCAGAUUGUUGUCAUCGCCCUCUUUUUCGCAGGGGGACAUAAUGGCCCGUCUCAGAACAGUAGCGCUGUAGAACCACAGCACAAAAUGCAAUCCCAGGAGCCCAAAACAUCUUCGUUCCCCUCUGACAAUGGAUAUGUGCUGGGCAAAGGCAAAAUGGUCACCUUUAAGGCAACUGAAGAUAACAGCUCACUUAAAUGGACCUCACUUAAUCCAGACACAGGCGUGAUCUCUAAAGAAGGCAAAUCCCUCACCAUAUUGAGAGAUGGGUACUACUUCCUAAGCCUCCGGGUGACGCUGUCCUUGUGUAAAGGAAGCCAGUCCGAGAAGCUGGAGCACAAGGUUCACCUGAUGUGGCAGGACACGGUCCUUCUGGAGGGUUGGAUUAACACCAAAACUAACAGCACAGGCGUGCUCAGUAAGGUAAAGGAGCUGUCCGCUGGAGGAACACUGGAGGUCAGAAUCAUCCCGCCAGCAACAUGUAUUCAGGACUCUGAAGCUGUCACCCACCUGGAUAUCAUCUACAUGGCCAAGCCGUAGUGGAGAUGAUCUACAAGUCCUACAAGUCCUGGUUCUGGAGCAAAGAUGCUCAAGUGCAAACACAGAGGUGUGGAGGCAGAAAACACAGCCCCCUGUAGAUUCUGGUCUGCAUAAAGAAAGUAGGAUUUACUUUGGCCAGUGAAGUAGAUAUAUGUCUGACAUCAUCACUACAAAUCUGUUUCUCUGCUGUUACACUUAAAGGGUUUUUCGAAUUUACACUUUAACCUCAGCUAAAUAACAAUAUGUUGGUAGGUUUAGGGGGAUUGUCCCUUGCAUGUCACAAAGCUUGAUUGUUCUCAUUGCCAUGUCACAGAAGCAGGUAGUAAACCUUGUUAUCUUGUUGGAGGUUCUUCCAUUUAAAAAGAAUUGAAUGUAUCACACUGAAGGGUGAAAGCCUUUCAGUGCUAUUUGCACAGCUCCUUUUUUUUGCUAUUGCUGAUUGAUUUCUUUGUAUGUUUGGAUAUAUUUAUGUUGGAUUUAUUUAUUGCUUUGACUAUAUGCAGCACACAGGUAUAUAACGAUGUCUUCCAAAUUCCAGAACCACUCUCACACUCAGAAUCUGCUAACCCAUGAAAGUGCAGUUUGUCACUGUGUGACUUUGUAUAGUAUACAUGUAGUAUAUUAUUACAGAGUCACUGGAAUGUAUGUACAGAUUUUUCAGUUCGACAGUCAUGAUUUCAGGCAACUCCAGUUUAAUUUAGUCUGAAAUUAUUUUUGGAUUUAUUUAUUAAUCAUGACCUGUUAUAUAUAUAAAAUUAAAACAUGACUUUUACAGAGCUCCAAAUCUCAUUCUUGUAUUACACAUUAUGACACAUAACAUCCCGGGUUAUGACACAAAGUUUCAUGUGUUUAGAGAAAGAAAUUUUGAGAUUUGUCACUGGGUUAUUUUUCUUUAAACACACUACAGUGUGUCAUGGGAAAAUGGGAAGUAAAUGAACAGUUUCUUUCCUAAUUCUAUGCAGCCUGCUGUUUGGGAAGUUUAAUGCCAGACUUAACAUAC